rnacentral:rRNA from 1 species
UACGUAGGGUGCAAGCGUUAAUCGGAAUUACUGGGCGUAAAGCGUGCGCAGGCGGCUUUGCAAGACAGAUGUGAAAUCCCCGGGCUUAACCUGGGAACUGCAUUUGUGACUGCAUGGCUGGAGUGCGGCAGAGGGGAUGGAAUUCCGCGUGUAGCAGUGAAAUGCGUAGAUAUGCGGAGGAACACCGAUGGCGAAGGCAAUCCCUGGGCCUGCACUGACGCUCAUGCACGAAAGCGUGGGGAGCAAACAGG